CUGGCACCCGUGCACUCUGCCACAGCAACGGAGGUCAUCUGAGCAGACAGUUCCCUUACCUCACACUUCAUUGGGCUGCCAUGGUUACGUAAGGACGGCGGCAGAGAAUGUGUUUGAGCAGAUCACUUUUGUCAGCUUUUCAAAGUGUGUUUCAUUAGGGUUAUUGUCCCACUUGCGACUACAUGUCAACUGCAUGAACUUUACACAAAUCACGUGAUCAAAGGUCAUGCAGUUUUUGAUGAAGUCGCCUUCAAUGAAUUGCAGUAGCGUCUUACCAACUGCACCAUGCUGGCAUCACCUGCAUCGUGGGAGGCACAAUUUGUCAACCAAUGUAACGUUCGUCGUCUGAAGAUGAGGAAUCAUCGGACCAAAGCGCAGCGUGAUGCACCUCCCCGACUUCACACGCCGACUUUGGUUUACAAUCGGCUUCGUUAGGCUUACUGCUCGAGCUCACCCAGACUCUCAUCCCUGAGUUGUCCCAGCAUACACUGCACAUCUUCGUCUGUUGACCCAGCGCAGUGUCCAAUGCACAACGAGAGGAACUCCAGGAGUCUCCUGGGGAGGAGCACGGCACACUAUGUUUCACCUAUCCAAGUCAUCCAACCCCAAUCUAGAAAUUCUAAUGCAUUGACAUACUAAGGACUCAUUCUACCGACAGAACAAAAAAAAAUUGAGGAAGCAUACACAUGUAUUAUUCAUCAAACCUUGAUCAAAGCCCUCAUUUUGUAUAUCUAUGGAGUUUGCAUAAUUUGCAAGUUGUUGCAAUAUAUGAGUAUUUUUGGUCUUGUGUUUUUUUUUCUUCUCACAAAUACAUCCAUGAAUCGACCAGUAGGAUUCUCAGCUUAUUAUCUGGGUUUGUUUACCUAGUGUUGUUUUCUGAGCCACAGCCAUACUACACUGUUGGAUUAGCUCAGACCUCCAACUGGGUGUGUGUACUGUAUUCCCUAUGCUGGUCCAAUGCAAAAUGCAUCGUAAUAAACACAUUGUCAGGCAAACGUGAAAUGA